GACGAACGCUGGCGGCGUGCUUAACACAUGCAAGUCGAACGGAAAGGCCCUGCUUUUGUGGGGUGCUCGAGUGGCGAACGGGUGAGUAACACGUGAGUAACCUGCCCUUGACUUUGGGAUAACUUCAGGAAACUGGGGCUAAUACCGGAUAGGAGCUCCUGCUGCAUGGUGGGGGUUGGAAAGUUUCGGCGGUUGGGGAUGGACUCGCGGCUUAUCAGCUUGUUGGUGGGGUAGUGGCUUACCAAGGCUUUGACGGGUAGCCGGCCUGAGAGGGUGACCGGCCACAUUGGGACUGAGAUACGGCCCAGACUCCUACGGGAGGCAGCAGUGGGGAAUAUUGCACAAUGGGCGGAAGCCUGAUGCAGCAACGCCGCGUGCGGGAUGACGGCCUUCGGGUUGUAAACCGCUUUCGCCUGUGACGAAGCGUGAGUGACGGUAAUGGGUAAAGAAGCACCGGCUAACUACGUGCCAGCAGCCGCGGUGAUACGUAGGGUGCGAGCGUUGUCCGGAUUUAUUGGGCGUAAAGGGCUCGUAGGUGGUUGAUCGCGUCGGAAGUGUAAUCUUGGGGCUUAACCCUGAGCGUGCUUUCGAUACGGGUUGACUUGAGGAAGGUAGGGGAGAAUGGAAUUCCUGGUGGAGCGGUGGAAUGCGCAGAUAUCAGGAGGAACACCAGUGGCGAAGGCGGUUCUCUGGGCCUUUCCUGACGCUGAGGAGCGAAAGCGUGGGGAGCGAACAGGCUUAGAUACCCUGGUAGUCCACGCUGUAAACGGUGGGUACUAGGUGUGGGGUCCAUUCCACGGGUUCCGUGCCGUAGCUAACGCUUUAAGUACCCCGCCUGGGGAGUACGGCCGCAAGGCUAAAACUCAAAGGAAUUGACGGGGCCUCGCACAAGCGGCGGAGCAUGCGGAUUAAUUCGAUGCAACGCGUAGAACCUUACCUGGGUUUGACAUGGAUCGGGAGUGCUCAGAGAUGGGUGUGCCUCUUUUGGGGUCGGUUCACAGGUGGUGCAUGCCUGUCGUCAGCUCGUGUCGUGAGAUGUUGGGUUAAGUCCCGCAACGAGCGCAACCCUUGUUCACUGUUGCCAGCACGUUAUGGUGGGGACUCAGUGGAGACCGCCGGGGUCAACUCGGAGGAAGGUGGGGAUGACGUCAAGUCAUCAUGCCCCUUAUGUCCAGGGCUUCACGCAUGCUACAAUGGCUGGUACAGAGAGUGGCGAGCCUGUGAGGGUGAGCGAAUCUCGGAAAGCCGGUCUCAGUUCGGAUUGGGGUCUGCAACUCGACCUCAUGAAGUCGGAGUCGCUAGUAAUCGCAGAUCAGCAACGCUGCGGUGAAUACGUUCCCGGG
rnacentral:rRNA from 1 species